CUUCCACAUAAGCAGGUUUCCCAUAAGCGUCCCUCCAGACCCCGCCAGGUGAUCGAUGGAGCUCCAUCUCUUCACGUGAACAUCACUGAAACUCAAGAAUGAGGAGGGACAUUGGUCUGACCUUGGAAAGCCCAUGACGACGAACCAGGAAACCAUCAGUGCAGAGUCCAAAGACUGACACGUGAUCCGUGGGGUACUUGGACAAACAUCACGUGAUGUCCAACAAAGAAGGUAUUCGUUGAGCCAUUCGACGACACUCUCUCAUCCAACCAAGGGCACCCAGGGGAACUGCGACGCCCUUACACUUCUAUAACAUCGAAUAAGAUACCUUGCUCGUACUCUGCUACCUGAGCUGCCCAGGACGACAUCAACACAGGAGCACACAGUCUGUGUGCCCAGGCUCAGGCUUUUACAUAAUGGACUUCUACCACCAGCUUGCCUGCAUACGCGCCAUCUUGUAGGGUUUCCUUGCUUUGCUGUACGGUUCCCCUCACAGUCGCUCAGCUGUGCCGAAGAACCGGAUGCAGAACCUACGCCAAUAUGCCGAUUUGUUCCACUGUUCUUUUAAUCUGUGAGGUACGGUGGAAGUAAAUAAAAUGCUGUGUUAACCUCGUAUGUGCAGUCGCUCCUACAGCGUGUGUGAUAUGUCAUGCAUGUACAUGCUCUUCGUGCACAGCGCUUCGAAUUUCUGCAAUGAAAUACGCUGACAGCUGAACUUCUGCAAAGCGCUCGUGACAAUAACGUUAUUUUAAGAUGAGGAAUAGGGAGUUUCAUUGCCAGGGUCCAUACUCCACCUCAUUGCUGGUAGUGAUGUGGUGAAUAAAAUAACGAGCCACGCCAACCGAACAACAAACGAAAACAAACAAAAAAUAUAAAAUCGGAAGUACCUUACAAUAACAAACAGCGUGAAACCUUUCUGAGUAAAAAUAAUUAAUUUUAUAGGUUGACAUUCACCAAAUUCACCAUCAUGCGUAUGUGCCCUGUGCACGACAGUUACGACACCCCCUAUUCGGACUACAGGCAACGGAGAAGAAAAAGAAGGUAAUUAUUACCAUUAGAAACUACAGGAACACGACUAAAGCACGUUUGGAAUACAUCAGCACACUGAUUCCUAGGAAAGAUGCGUGCUAAUCAGCAAUGAGGAGCGUUUAAAGCGCAAUAAAUACUCCAAAUCAAAUCGCUUCCCAUUGUUUCCUAUGGGAGAGCCGGCGCCAGUGGGCCCUCCAACAUGGCGGCCGGUUGCCGCACCUCUCUCCCACGAGCCCCUCUCCUAUGCACGAUCCAGCCUUUAUACAUAGAGAUCAGUGGUUUACCGUGUGUAUUCGUCUUUGGAUUAUUGUUGUCUUCGGAAAUACGUGCCUACAUUUGUUACGAUGCAUAACGAUUUAUUGAUUUCGCUCGCAAAGCAUACAGACGCCACUUCAACACGCCAUAGGCGGUAAACAUCUUCAUGUGUGUUAGUCGAAAGCAAAAGGCUGGCGGUGUCGCGUGUAAUCUCAUAGAUAAAAUAUGAUUCACGUUUGAUAUGACAACGUUUACCUUGCGAUUCCGGUAGCACUACUGAAUUCUGCACGUAUUCCGAAGGUUCGUACAUCGGGACGUUGUUCCCUCCAUCGGUUCGUUUCCCCGUUUGUUAUCCCACGUGACUACACAGGGUUGACAACAAAUGGAGCAGCUCCGCUGUAGUUAGUGGGCAGAAAUUCGUCCACUAAAACUGUACAUGACCAACGGAUGGUUGGACCUGGGAGGCGACGCUCGGGGCUAGGAGAAUCCCAUUGACGGCGCGCCAAGUACGUUCUCUAGAGUCUUCCUAUAUUAACUCUAUGAUUUUAAAACUGAAUCGUCGUCGUCGUCAUCCCUCCUUUCCAGGAACACUUUCCUUCUCAAAACUUGUGUCACACCGGCAAAUUUGGACAACAGCCAGUGAUUAUAUGGAGCCGUGGUCGCUCUGUAACUCAGUUCUUAUAGCGAUAUUCGCAGUAACAUUCGUCUUGCUCGGUACGGAGUCACCACUCCUUUCUGUCCAUUCUGUGCUUGUCACGAAACUGCGGAACACGCGUUUCAUCAGUGCCUUGUGCCCGAUACCCUAUGGCACAAAGUUGAAGUCCUGUUCGGUGUGUCACGCAUUCGGUGGGCUGUCAUUCAAACGCUCUUUCAGCCUCCCGUCCCGCAUCGCGAUAGGAAACAGUUCCUCCUCCUGGCAGUUGAGAUUAACUACCAGGUGUGGAUUUCUCGCUGCAUUGCAGCACAGGGUGGCCGCAUCCGUAGUGUAGCAGAAGUGCUAAAUCUUGUUCGAGCAGGGGUUCGUCGCGCUCUUCGUAGAGAGAGAGCUGUGCUGGGAGCUGUGCACUUUGCAAGACGGUGGCAGACAUCUUCGGUCCUCUUUGAAGAUGAUAGAGGUACGUAUGUGCUUCACUUUUAGGUGGCCAAGUACAGUGUGCCGUUGUCACUUUCGCAGCUUUCCGCGAGUCUUCGUUCGUUGCAUGGUGACGUCCAGCACACAUAUUAAUCUAGAGAUCAUAUUGCUCUAGAGUUGGCAUCUACGUAGCCUUAGUUUAGUCCGUGUGAAACGUUAGAGGGAGCCAGUCUGUGUGGCUGGUCUUCCGCUCUGAUGCCAAUACAGAGAGACAAAUGCGCGGCCCGUAAAACGGUCGUCGGGGCAGCAUCACUUGCGGUGUUGUUUCCGGGAAGAUUUUUUCUAAAGAUGUUUCGGUUUCGCAGCGGGUGUUCGCAGAGUUUUACAGAGGGAGAGAGCAGUCCUUGGUGCUAUGGAGUUCGGAAGACGCUGGCUCACUUCGUCUGUGCUAUUCGAAGAAACACAUGGAAGGGACCAUAACCAGGCCGCCGAACAUUUCACAACUCAUGGGACCCCGUGAAAGAACGCUGGUCAUAAUACCCAGAUAUUCAUUUCGUUCGACUCAUACCAGCUCGCAGUGACCCAUAUAACUGCUUUCAACGAUGAGUAACCAGCGAGCCUCUGUCGCGUACGUCGUAUGGCUACGUAGCCUUUUGCCGUCCAAUCGCCGGGCAGAGCUCCGAACAUGACGUUUCAAAUUACCAGUCAAUAAACACGCUUCAUUAUCAGCUGUAAGCAUAGGGCUCUAAUAAUAACUAGAAACCAAGCCAGCCGAGAGGAGUAUGUCAACAUGUGGGCCGCCGUGAUCGAUACGGUAGGCCUAGCGUGUUACGAACGGUGGCUCCUAUGAGUUCUCUGCGCCGCUCCUUCGUGUCGCAGCAUAAGGUUUAAAACGAACGAUGUUCGUUCCCUGAUUCGCACACGGCAUGGCAGGCGGAACCCAGCGGAAGCGACUUGCAUUGGAUUGGAUAUCAUUGCGCCGAACGCACCGCCGGGUCUUCACACUUCGAAAGGCUGCGGCAAAUCCGGCCGAAUCCAGAAUGUCGGUUAUGGCGCCUCCCGGACUUGGACAUUGGGAGAGGGUAUCGCCCCCGUACAACUCCUUUGCUCUCCCCCAUCACUCUCUCUCCCAGCUUUUCUUGUAUAGCCUCUCUCCUUAUGAUUUCUAUGGCUGUUAAGGUGGAGUGCUCCGUUUGUUUGUAUGGAACUUGAGUCUGCGCUCCGUGGUUCCGAAAUUCAGCGUCAUGAUAUCUCCAGCAUUUUCGCCUCUAGCAAACGUCAGCAGAUGGGCUGCUGUCGUUGGACGCGUUUCGAACCCGGGUUCCUCCUGUGUGACAUGGCCAGCAGGCUAACCACUGCACCAGGCGAGCUGGUGACACGACGCCGCGUGACUCAAACCAAAGUACGCCAGCGCACUCGUCAGGACUAUUCGAAGAUGAAGAAGACGGCCCAUUGCGUUCAUACAUAAGAUUCCGGAACUCUAGUGCCGGAUAUCCAUUCACGCUCGCGGCGUGCUACUGCGCGGAAUACUUUGUACGCGAAUGAUACCUAAAUUGAAUGCUUUUGUUUCUAAGUAUGAGACUGUAACUGUUUUGAUAUUGAAUAGAAGAAGACUCCCAUUCAUCUAGUCCAUUUCCCCAAGUGGAAUAAAAUCAUACGCGGAA